CGUUUCGGGAGAGUUCCGGGAGCAGAGAGCAGCUCCAGGCGGCGCCGGCGGCUCCGGAGUCAGAGGAAGAAGGGAAAGGAAGGUGUGGUGGGGCGCCCAGACCCUGCCUGGGGCAUCUGGAGCUGGGCGGGACAGCCGCCCCGAAGUCUGCGCUGGACAUUAAGAAUCGAACUAGGACAGCACCUGCCAGGACCCCGACCUAGACCCCCUGCCUCCUCUUAGGUGGCCCUGCUGCCACGCCACCCAGCUCUUCCGCGUCUCCUCCUGCCUGGCGGCAGCCACGGUCAAGGACGCGCCAUAUACGGAGUGCGAGCCUGAAGUUCCCCUUUAACUUCGGGAGACGACGCUUCUGCACCCCUAGCUAUUUCCCAUCCGCCAGCACCUGUGCUUUGGGGCACCGGUUGUGCUCAUAGCAGACUUUUUGGUCAGCCCGGCUCGCUUUUCCUGGAGUGAUGUUGGUGAAGAAGUUUUCUUUGCGCCUUGUUUCAGGGAGCCGAGGCCGGUGUUGAGCUGAGCAGUGGCCAGGACACUAGGAGGACUAGUUUUCUGUUCCACCAUCAAUGAAGAAAACACGAGGACUCCCGUUAUCAAGCAGGUGCUAUCUUCAGGCCUGGGAACCUAGCUUGUUGGGGACCAGUAUGUGCUUGCACCUGGGAGUGGAUUCCUACCGCCUUCUGAAGUGAUGGGUUUGCUCACUUCCUACUGGAGGUAUUGGUGACUCAAGGCUGACGGGGGCAGUCAUUGUUGGGGAGGCUGGGCUUUCUGCGAUACCUGCUUUGGGGACAUUAAACAGGUGAACUUUCAAUCCCCAUGUGGCUGUCAGGAAUACUUCCCCCUUUUGACUUUUUGGCCUGAAAUACCCUUUCAGUUAGGAUCCCACCACUUCUGGACCUCUCUAGUCUUGACCCAUCAUCAAACUCCUGAUACUCCCUGGCCAUCUCUUUACACAGGCACACUCCUUGUGUGCGCGCAGUGUGAGCAUUACCAGAGACAGUGGGGCUAUGCGAAACAUGCGAGGUGCAAGCGCUUAGUCAGUCUUGAGUGCUAGGAUUCUUUCAGCUGAACUGAGGUAUCAUUUGAAUUCCUGGAAGAACAAAACCCCACAGCCCCACUCUUGUCUGCAGGGGCGAAGCUAAUCAAAGCUGGCUCCAGAGGGGAGCCGGUGGAGCCCGGAGAAGUUGGGCACCUCAGAACACUAUCAGGAGCAGGGGCACACAUGUCACCGUUUCAGUAGAAUUAGGUGCGUGGCCUGGAACCGGAGAACGGCAGGAGGGGACGCAUGCCCCUGUAUCCUGGGGGUCUGGCUGUCCGCACUUGGGAGCCUUUGCACAGAGUUGUAGAGAGCUGCAUGGUUAGGGGGAGCUAUUGUUAUAGCUUAAGGGAAAACGGCCAGCUUCAAGCUUUAUUUCUGCUACGAAGGCUUCAUAGGUUGAUUCUCAUCGGUCAGUACAGCCUAGGAGUAGAGGGUAGAGCAGGUAAAGGCAAUUACAUUUGUGACUGAGCACAAUGGAAACUGUUGGGAGAAGAUAGGCACCAUGGUCCUAUGGGGUGGUUGUGAGGGGAGGCAGGUGGGAGAGACCCAAUAGGUCAUGGAAGCCAGAUGCUGGAUGCUGGCCUGCCUUAGGACCGUUUGCUGUUGGUGGACUUGUGGGAGCCCGCGCGCUCAGAUGUGGACUGUGCUCCACCAGGCUCCUCCCAAUGGCUGAUUUUUCAGAAAUCAAUUGCUAGGGCUUGCUUUCAUAGGGCCUCUCCCCCAAACAAAAGCAAAAGAACCCCGGACUCUCUGUUAUUGAAUUGAUUCUCCUAACAACCUUAUGAUAGACCAGAACUGCCUCUAUGGGUGUCCGUGCCUGUGACGGGAGUAGGGAGCCUUGUCUUUCUCUCGCGGAAUAGCUAGUGGUUUUGAACUGCUGACCGUACAAUUUAUACCGCAACACGUCAUCCAUGGUGCCACCAGGGUGGACUUAAGCCACCACGCUAUUUACUGGCAGAUGAGUGUGUUAAAUGAUCAUAGCACCCAGGGCCUCUGUGAAAAAGACCGCAGCCAGACAGGAGAGGACACGCGCCGUGUGGCCCAGGGUGACUGAUGGCUCCAAGCACCCUGCCAUUGAAGCCGCUUUGGGUAACACAGCUGCUUCCCAGGUGAGCUGCUCUCAUCAGGAGUGUGUGUCACCCAGAGGUGCGGGGGCCUCAGCGUCUCUCUUGCUCAUGGGCAUUUGGAGAGCCAGUGUCAGUAGGUGGAGGCCAGAGCCCUGGUGGCGCAUUGGGUUACUUUGUUGGCUACAAGGUUAACAGUUCAAAACCACUUGCGUGGAGGAUGAAGCUUUCUGCUCUCAUCAAGAGUCACGCUCCCGGACACCCUCAGGGACACUUUGAUUCUGUUCUGUAGAGUCAGAAUGGACUUAAUGAUUAUGAGCUGAGGUUUUUGAGGGGUGGAGGGUAGUAAAGUAUUUUAUAGGAUACUUGGCAGAAGUGUAUUUUAAAAGACACCUCUCCUUUGAAUGCCUGCUGGGUGGCAGGUGCCUUGCAUUGUGCUGACGCUAAGCAUUUUGUUUGUCACCUUUUAGGAGCAGCAGGCAGUCUACCGUGACCCCCUGGCGGGAAAGAUCCAGUUAGGAACUGACUCUAUAGCAACUGAGGUUUUCCGGUUUGGGGUAUCAGUGUGUCGUACAGGUUUGCGGGGGUGUGGGUUUAUCACGGGAAGCGAAAGAAGAGGGUCCUGGGCAGAAAGAGCAUCCUGGAAACCCGAAACUGUGUCCCUUGUGUGGGGAGCGGAGGCAUUAGAGUGGCUGGCAGGUGGGAGGUGCUGGCAGUGGGAUCCUGGGCGUUAGAAGGGACACCAUUUAAUAGGUUUCCCUGCUGAGUUUCUCUCUAUUCAAAUGGUGGCAAGCCUGGCUGUUGGCUGAGACCCAGGAAUACUAGCUGAUUAUCCUACACUGCUAUUGGAGCCAGAGGAAAACGAAAUUUCCUAUUGGUCCAUUUGCCUUCGACAUACAGCAUUUUGCUUCUGUCCUGUUAAAAAUAAAAGAAGGUAUUAGCAAUGCAAAUAAAGAAAGGGGUCCUUAUCAGCCGUAAGUCUGCCCUCUUGUGUACAUGAAUUACUUCUGGGGCUUUCAUUAUAUGAUUAUGCAGCAGUGGGAAAAAUGACAAUGUUACUUGACAAAUGAUAUAGUAUGGGGUGGGGGUGAGGGGAAGAAAAAGCCACCCUUCUCUGGGAGAACAAAUUCUAUUUUGUCAGAUGUGCUUCUGGGUAGAGUUACAGUCGUGUCUAGCGCUAACAAGGCUCUUGUGUUUGAAUCAUUUCCAUUCGGCACUUUCUUUCUCGGGGGAGAUGAUAUUGAGGUUGGGAGCGUGUGUGUCUCAGUGUUCGUGUGUAGUUGCACACAAACGUGUUCUGUGGGACUUGGGAGCUAUCUGGUGAGGAAGGAAGACAAAACAAAACCUUAGCUGCUGAGGAUGGAAAAACACAGUUGCAGCAG